UAAUCAUUUUUCCUCAUUUUAUUUGCAUGAACUCAAAUUUCCUCUUUUCUACAUCAAAUUUGUACAGCAAGAGCGUGCUUGGCACGAGACCAAAGACACAUGGAGCUUCCAAAGGCAGCCAUGGUGUGGUAGGUUCUGUCAAAUUUCUUUGUUUCUUUUAAAUUUCGUUUCAAAUUCGUACUAUUCCAACUCACUGGAGUCUGAGCCUCUAAGAAAUUUUCGAAAAAAUGGUUCCUCCCACAUUGAAAAUAUUCUCAAAAUUUGAAGAUUUUUGGGUGCUAUAAAAAGCCCCUCUCUUCACUAUUUAAAGGGCGGAUUUUGCAACGAGAGAGUACCCAAAAAAGCUUUGGGAAAUCUUGGUUCAAAAGUUUAAUAUUAGGCGUUGUUCGAGUUGAAAGUAAUGGUGGUGUCGUCUUCCCUACUCGUCUUUUUGGUUUGCUUCCCACAACCAAACUUUCCGUUCCCUUGCGUUCUUUUCUUUUCGAGUCAAAUCUCUACCAAGUUACGUACGGAAAGCUGAUAUAUUGGGUUAAAACCUUAUAAAUCAGCAGUAGCAGCACUCCCAAAGGGAUUAAAAUUGAGAAUUUUGGAUUAUAAAAAAUUCAAUUUAUACAAUAACAGGUUGCAGCAAUCCCAAAGGACUAAAACAAAGGGAUUUUGGACUUUAAGGAGUCGUUUGGUACAAUAAGGAUUAAUACAGGGAAUAGUAAUGCAGGGAUUAACAAUGCAGGGAUUAGCAAUGCAGAGAUUAUUUUUUAUCCAAUGUUUGGUUUAUUGCUUAUUCAAAUCUUGUGUUUGGCUUAAAACUCCUAAAAAAUAACUUUUUUCCAAUUUUACCCUUGAAUUAUUAAGUUAUCUAUUUCAUGUAAUUACCAUAUCUAUUACGUUUA